AUGGACUGGACCUGGAGGAUCCUCUUCUUGGUGGCAGCAGCAACAGGUGCUCACUCCCAGGUGCAGCUGGUGCAGUCUGAGCCUGAGAUGAAGCAGCCUGGGGCCUCAGUGAAGUUCUCCUGCAAGGCUACUGGUUACACCUUCACUAGCUAUGUUAUGAACUGGGUGCGACAGGCCCCUGGACAAGGGCUUGAGUGGGUGGGAUGGAUCAACACCAACACUGGGAACCCAAUGUAUGCCCAGGGCUUCACAGGACAGUUUGUCUUCUCCAUGGACACCUCUGUCAGUACAGUAUAUCUGCAGAUCAGUAGCCUAAAGGCUGAGGACAUGGCUGUGUAUUACUGUUUGAGAGACACAGUGUGGAAACCCACAUCCCAAGACAGUCAGAAACCCUGA